AACGAGACCUUAACCUGCUAAAUAGCCCCAUCGACUAUGGUUGGUGGCUGGCUUCUUAGAUGGACUAUUGGCUUCCAGCCAAUGGAAGUUUGAGGCAAUAACAGGUCUGUGAUGCCCUUAGAUGUUCUGGGCCGCACGCGCGCUACACUGACGGAGCCAACGAGUACUUUCCUUGUCCGGAAGGACUGGGUAAUCUUGUGAAACU
rnacentral:rRNA from 1 species